rnacentral:misc_RNA from 1 species
UUGAUCAUGUUCAUUAUCAAUUACUUCACGGGGAAACGCGAAAAUGAGAAUUUGGCGCUGUCUUGGGCGGCGAAAUUCGCUACCAAAGACUCGAUUUUCGAGAAGAAUUAUAGCCUUCUGGGUGUUGGAGAAGGCGAUGAUUCGCCACUGUUGUUGAAAGAAGGGCAGAAUGUUUUCAAAUUUUAUGCUAGUGGUCGUAGGUACUGUCA